GACGAACGCUGGCGGCGUGCUUAACACAUGCAAGUCGAACGGAAAGGCCCUGCUUUUGUGGGGUGCUCGAGUGGCGAACGGGUGAGUAACACGUGAGUAACCUGCCCUUGACUUUGGGAUAACUUCAGGAAACUGGGGCUAAUACCGGAUAGGAGCUCCUGCUGCAUGGUGGGGGUUGGAAAGUUUCGGCGGUUGGGGAUGGACUCGAGGCUUAUCAGCUUGAUGGUGGGGUAGUGGCUUACCAAGGCUUUGACGGGUAGCCGGCCUGAGAGGGUGACCGGCCACAUUGGGACUGAGAUACGGCCCAGACUCCUACGGGAGGCAGCAGUGGGGAAUAUUGCACAAUGGGCGGAAGCCUGAUGCAGCAACGCCGCGUGCGGGAUGACGGCCUUCGGGUUGUAAACCGCUUUCGCCUGUGACGAAGCGUGAGUGACGGUAAUGGGUAAAGAGGCACCGGCUAACUACGUG
rnacentral:rRNA from 1 species